rnacentral:lncRNA from 1 species
UCAUCGUGGUCGUUAAUCUCCGAGAUCAAUUGCCCCUAUUCACUCUUACAUUUUUAACCCAAACGACCAUCCUAAUCUUCUCAUUUUCCACCCAUCAGCUGCUAUAAACCCUCCACUCUCUAAAACUCUCUCAAAUCUUAUCAAACCCUAGCCGCCUCUUAUCACCUCCGCCCUGAAAGCCGCCAGAAUCCAUGGCUUUCAAGGUUAUGUGAGUCAUACACUGGCCUCCGAUGGAGUCCACGUGCCUGAUUUAUGAAGAUUUAGGCCUGACCUUGAAGGUUUGUACCCAGAUCUCUGUCUAUACGAGGUUCCACGAUCAUCUACAUCCUUGCUCCAGCAUACCAUGGUUGUUUGAGCCUGGUUCUGACCUCUCCGACUCAUAUCACUGACUUUUCAAAGCCUGUCUCAUUACUACGGUUCUUCUGAAACCCUAACCCAUCGAGGUUUUCUCCGAUUCCUUUAGAUUUGUUCCAGAUCCAUGCUUUUCUUAAGGUCUUAGACGACUUUCCUGACUUUUCUUUCAAAAAAACUACUAUCAAAACCUUUUUCCGUUCUAGGGUUUUUCUAAAAAUGUUUUAAGUAUUUCUGACUUUCUUUUCUCUCGUGUAUAUUUGCCUCUACUGUGGUCUUGUAGUUUCUUCUACCAUGUUCUUACAUGCUUUUUCUGCUGUAUUUUCCUAUACUGCAUUCUGGUAUGCUUUUCUACUAUAUGCUUUCUCUACUGUGUUCUGAUAUGUUUCUCUUGCUAUAUUUUCCUACUAUGUUCUUAAGUGUUUCUUACCAAGUUACAUCUACUGAGCUCUGUUUAAGUUUCUUCGAAAAAUUCUUGACAUACUUCUUCUACUGUUCUUAUCAGUAUUCUCCAUUAUGUUUCAUAUUAGCUUCUUCAACUCUAUUUUUUCUUUGAAUUCUGCUACUACGUUCUGCGUGUUACUUGCUACCAUUAUUUUCUUAUGAGUUUUGUUGCUGAAAGAAACAUGUUAGAAGUUUCAGUUCUUUUUUGAAACCUCUAAACUUGUUUCGAUUUAAUUACUUGCCCUCUCAUCUUUGAUUUGUGAUUUGCCUGAACUAGGGUUUUAUUUCAAAAUCCCCAAACUCUUUCAGACCAACUUCGAGUCUCGAAACUGAGUUUGGGCAUUCUUGUACCGAACUUUUUGCUAAACUCUCAUACACUGGAUUUUUCUAUUGAUUAUGCAAUGGAACAACAUCUUCUCUCAACUCAACGUAUUUAUGUGCUCUUUGUACAUGAUGAACCUUCCUCUGAUAAGGCUUUCAAACUUGUGAUUAAUUCAGAAUUCCUUCUAAAUAGGUUGAUUUUCUUUCCAUUGUUUGCUGAUUUCCCUUAACUUAAAAAACCUUUCCCAUCUUUUUGACUUGGUUCAUUCAUAAAAAUCUCAGACUUUUUGAUUUAAUGGCUAAUGGUUGAUUUUCUUAUCUUAUUUGUACAACCGUGUGCUUCAAAACCCUGUCCUUAAAUAACCUUUUAUGUAUUUUCUCUUAAUUUCAUGCUUUACACAAAGUGUUUAGUUAAUUUUUUUUCUUAAAUAGUUCUUACCCGUUUAAAUCUGAAUCCCUUAAUUAAGGGAAGUCUCGAGUAAUUGAUGCUUAAUUGAGAGUCAAUUCUUUUGAUGUUUCUUUACCUUAUUUCUGUCGGAUUUUUACAUUAUAAAAGGCACGACCCUUUUUUCACACUACACACUUCAAACAAUUCAGAACCUCUUUUGAACUUAUAUUUACUCAAAAUAAUAUUCUCUUCUUGUUUGCACUGUGGCCUGGUUACAAGACCUACUGCUUUUCUUUGUUUUUUCUCUGAAACUAGUAUGUCUGGAUUUAAUUUUUAGCACCACAACAAUGUGUAUUUACUACUUUUAUGUCCAUGUUUGGUUGCUGUUUCUGCCUAUCUCAGCACUUAAAUUGACAUGAUGAUUUCUUUUUGUUUGUUUGUUAUGAACGCCAUUCCCCUAUUACCUUUUGUGUGUUUUGGAGUUAUGGCUUAAAGCAUGGAAAUGUGAGUUGUUUUUCAUGAGUUAAGUUUGAUCCACUAGUAUCUUAACCUCUAAACAAUAUGUUCUAACAGGUUUGAGGGUGCGCCAGCAUCUCUUAUUGUUGGUUAUUCCCACUUGCCUACUUUUUGCCUCUUGCAACUCCCCAUUCCCUAUACCCCUAUGUGUAUUAAUGUGAACUAUUUCCCUUCCCCUUUCCCUCUUUCAAAAUUCUGCACUUGCACUCUCUCUUAGUCUCUAAGUUUUGCCCCCCUUUUGUGAGCCUUGCCUUGCGACCUUGAGUUUCCUCUGAACUUGGACACUUGAGGGCUGUCCCUUUCACACAGCAUUGUGUCUUCAUCUGGUAAUGUAUUUGGGUAUGAGCACUGUCCGGAGUCCAUAUGAGGCUUUUAGGGAAAUUUAACACAUCCAAAUGGGAGAAAGGGUUUGUAUCAUGAUCUCUUGGAGUUGGUUCAUCUCAUAUUUCAGACACAGAGUCUGAAUUAGGUUCUCCGGUUGUGCUUUUAAUUUCUGAUGUAUUUUCCUUUUCUUAUUUCAUUCUGGG